GACGAACGCUGGCGGCGUGCUUAACACAUGCAAGUCGAACGGAAAGGCCCUGCUUUUGUGGGGUGCUCGAGUGGCGAACGGGUGAGUAACACGUGAGUAACCUGUACUUGACUUUGGGAUAACUUCAGGAAACUGGGGCUAAUACCGGAUAGGAGCUCCUGCUGCAUGGUGGGGGUUGGAAAGUUUCGGCGGUUGGGGAUGGACUCGCGGCUUAUCAGCUUGUUGGUGGGGUAGUGGCUUACCAUGGCUUUGAAGGGUAGCCGGCCUGCGAGGGGGACCGGCCACAUUGCGCCUGAGAUACGGCCCAGACUCCAACGGGAGGCAGCAGUGGGGAAUAUUGCACAAUGGGCGGAGGCCUGAUGCAACAACGCCGCGUGCGGGAUGACGUCCUUCGGUUUGUAAACUGCUGUCGCCUUUGACGAAGCGUUAGUGACGGUAAUGGGUAAAGAAGCACCGGCUAACUACGUG
rnacentral:rRNA from 1 species